CCUACGGGAGGCAGCAGUGAGGAAUAUUGGUCAAUGGGCUUACGCCUGAACCAGCCAAGUCGCGUGAGGGAAGACUGCCCAAUGGGUUGUAAACCUCUUUUGUCAGGGAGCAAUUGGCGCUACGUGUAGCGUUAUCGAGAGUACCUGAAGAAAAAGCUUCGGCCAACUCCGUCCCAGCAGCCGCGGUAAUACGGAGGAUGCGAGCGUUACCCGGAUUUAUUGGGUUUAAAGGGUGCGUAGGCGGAAUGUCAAGUCAGCGGUAAAAUCGCGGGGCCCAACCGCGCUCCGCCGUUGAAACUGGCGUUCUUGAGUGGGCGGGAGGUAUGCGGAAUGCGUGGUGUAGCGGUGAAAUGCAUAGAUAUCACGCAGAACUCCGAUUGCGAAGGCAGCAUACCGGCGCCCAACUGACGCUGAAGCACGAAAGCGUGGGUAUCGAACAGGAUUAGAUACCCGAGUAGUC
rnacentral:rRNA from 1 species